rnacentral:misc_RNA from 1 species
CUUCGCUUCUGGAAGAUUUAAUGGGGAAUUAUUUAGAGUAAUAAUUUCACUAGAUGAUGCUUCUGCUUCUGAGAGGAGCUGCUUUAAUUGAGAUUGUUGGCAGACAAUUCGACCGUUGUUCCACCCAGGAAACAAGAAGGAUGACGACACAUUAUCCUGCAGGAAUGAAUAGACUGCCCUUGCGAUAGGCAAGUUUUGUGCGGUUGAG